UAAUACGUAGGCAGCAAGCGUUGUUCGGAAUUACUGGGCGUAAAGAGUGUGUAGGCGGUGCUCUAAGUUCGGUGUGAAAUCUCCCGGCUUAACUGGGAGGGUGCGCCGGAAACUGGAGUGCUCGAGCGUGGGAGAGGAAAGCGGAAUUCCUGGUGUAGCGGUGAAAUGCGUAGAUAUCAGGAGGGACACCUGUGGUGUAGACAGCUUUCUGGACCAUAGCUGACGCUGAGACACGAAAGCGUGGGUAGCAAACAGGAUUAGAUACCCUGGUAGUCCACGCCCUAAACGAUGCAUACUUGGUGUCGGCCAUUCAGUUGGUCGGUGCCGGAGCUAACGCGUUAAGUAUGCCGCCUGGGGAGUACGGUCGCAAGGCU
rnacentral:rRNA from 1 species